AAUGAACGUUGGCGGCGUGGAUUAGGCAUGCAAGUCGAGCGAGAAUCCUCCGCAAGGAGGAGGACAGCGGCGAAAGGGAGAGUAACGCGUGGAUCAUCUACCCUCGGGACCGGGAUAGCCGCGGGAAACUGCGGGUAAUACCGGAUAACGUCCCCGGACUAAAGGUGCGAUUCCGCCUGAGGAUGAGUCCGCGUCCUAUUAGCUAGUUGGUGGGGUAAUGGCCUACCAAGGCGAAGAUGGGUACGGGGUGUGAGAGCAUGCCCCCGCUCACUGGGACUGAGACACUGCCCAGACACCUACGGGAGGCUG
rnacentral:rRNA from 1 species